rnacentral:rRNA from 1 species
UACGGGGGGGGCAAGCGUUGUUCGGAAUUACUGGGCGUAAAGGGCGCGUAGGCGGCCUUCUAAGUCAGACGUGAAAUCCCUCGGCUUAACCGAGGAACUGCGUCUGAUACUGGAAGGCUUGAAUCCGGGAGAGGGAUGUGGAAUUCCAGGUGUAGCGGUGAAAUGCGUAGAUAUCUGGAGGAACACCGGUGGCGAAGGCGGCAUCCUGGACCGGUAUUGACGCUGAUGAGCGAAAGCGUGGGGAGCAAACAGG